UUUUCUGAUUUGGUUCUUUUAUUUGUUUACCAAUUUCUUUGUUGAAGUUUUGAAUUAUAGAUGCUGAAAUGUUAUAGUUGCAAAAACAUUUAGUGAUAACAGCAUGAGUAAUAUGCAGGCAGCCAAACAGGCAGUGAACUGCACACCAGAUUUUUAUUGAAUUGCAUUGGGGGAAAAGCAUGAGCUAUAAGUACCUCUUUUCAAUAAUCACCCGAUCAAGAUGUGUUUCACAUGCUUAACACUAAGAGUUUUAAUUUCUUUUUUGAUAAGUAUAAGAGUUUUAAUUUCUUAAUUGGUUUUGUUGACUGAAUUGAUGAAUCACUUACAAAUUCUUCCCAUUCUAGUCAUUAUUAUAGUUUAGCUAAUUGAUGGGAGACACAAGAACCUUCUUCGUAUUUUUCUCCAUUUGCUAUCUUUUGUGUCUUAAAGAUCUUGUUACAAAUUGGAAACAACAUUGUGAGAUUGGAAAUCAUGCUGUUUUGUCUUUUUCUUUAAAAUUAUUUAAGAGGGAGGGUCACCGGUUGGCGGUCACAGUGCUUCUUCGCUUUACAUUGGUCAAACGGUGUAAUGCCUAAUUGGAUAACUAUAAUCUUUAUUGUCCAAUACCUAUCUAUGAUACUGCUUCUUUCCUGCUAGGAUUAUGGGCUUAAUAGGCAUUGGAGAAAACUUGUUCUGGGAAUAUGUGGGCUGAGGUUGAUGUUUUCAUGGGUUCAACUGAAAGGUGGUGGAGUUUCUUCUGGGAGAUUUACAUCUGCAAAGUAGUUAAAAGCUCCGAGGGAAAGUUAGAAGGUGAAUGAGGAAAAAAUACAGGAGGAUAGAGGUUUUGUUGGAGGUUAUCUGUGUGUUGGAGAGGAAUGGUGGGGAUUCUGGGUGUCUGAUCUAAGGAGGACAAACCAUUUUACAAGGUAAGUUUAUUGGUUGGUAGAGUUGGCGAUCAGCUGGAAGCGAAGUCAAGGCCUUUAAGAGCCAGAAAAUUAUCAUUGGAUGGCAAAUGUGCGCAGAAUAUCUAGUUUUAUUUUUUAUAAAAUAAUAAUAGAGGUCUUGAUGAAGGUGCUGAGGGAAGUUAGAAGUAGAGGUGAGUUCUUCCAAGAGGCUAUUUGAGAGGCAGCAAGUAAGGACACUUUAGUUUGAUUUUGGAUCUCUUUGAGUUUCAUGAUAUAGAGCACUAUAUUUUGAAGUAAUUUGAAAGACUUGUUAGAGAGGAAGAAGUGGUGGGAUUUGGAAAGAAGUUGAAUGUUGAACGGAUUUGGUUCAGAUAUGAUGCAUAUGGCUUUAUCUAAUGUUGUUAAUAGUGCCUUCACGUUCAUGAUGGAGGAAUUUUGAGAGUUCUGAGAUGCAGUGCUGGUCUUUUUGAUUCCUUAAGUAGACAUAAAUGGUGGGCAAUCAAGAUUUUUUGCGAAGAUAAUUUGUUGGGGGUGUGCAUGUACUUGGAACGAGUUAAGAGGCUGGUAAAUGGUACUACCUUUUGAAAACUGGAAAGUAUGGUUAAAAAAGGGUAUACCUUGAAUGUUUACUGAGCAUGGAAGUGAAACCAAGCCAAUUUAUACCAGCUAGCUGCAUGUGUUCAAGUGAGACUUCUUAUAAAAAAAAGUUUUCAAGUGAGACUUGUCUAUAUUAUAAUCAACCUAUUAAGUGGUGCACCUAACGACCUGAUUCAGGUGAGUAGUUGGGGUCUUUUGUUUUCUUGUUUAACUAAAUGGUCUAAUUCAGAUAUGAUAUCUUUGUCACAAUAUUUUUGCUCAGAUGUUAUUGCUGAACUUGGGAAAUGGAGAGGUGGAGUUGCCUAAUAAGAAUGCUUUGGUUGGAGUUGCAGUACAUUUAGUAAAGCAUGUUUACAUCUUAUUUGCAAGUUGGGUUUAUAUUGGAUAUCCUUUGUAUUACAUUAAUGAUAGUUCCCGUAGGUGCUUGCUUAUUAAGUUGGCUUCCAAUUCCAAAUCAAUUAAUAAUGGGAAAAAGAAUUAAAAAGGUUGGCUUAUUCUAUUAACUAUGAUUCUAAGGGUGGAAGUUCUUGCCGAGGUAGAGCUGGGAGUUCUAUCAAAUUCGAGUUGGGAGAUGGGUCCAAGAUCAGAUUUUGGGAUGCUGUGUGGUGUGGAGAGAUGACUCUCAAGGAAGCUUUCCCGCAUUUAUAUAACAUUGCUCGUGUGAUGGAUGCGUCUGUUGUAGUUAAUUUGGACUUCUCAAGUGGAUUCCUUUAGUGGAAUGUUAGUUUUAUUCGUUCGGCUCACAAUUGGGAGGUAGAUGUCUUGGCCUCCUUCUAUACCUUGUUGUAUUCCCAUAGAGUGAGAAGGGAAGAGGAAGACAAGCUUUGGUGGGCCCCGUCUCACAAAGGAAAUUUUGAUGGUAGCUCCUUUUACAAGAUCCUUGCUUGUAAAGACGCUUUUCCUUUCCCAUGGAAGAGUAUUUGGCGGACCAAGGUUCCUUCGAAUAUAGCUCUUUUUUUUUUCCCCGCUUGGUUGGCAGCUAUAGCGAAGAUUCUUACCAUGUACAAUCUUAGGAAGAGGCAUGUCACCGUGGUGAUAGGUGCUGCUUGUGCAAACAAAAUGUGGAGUCAGUGGACCUUCUUCUUUCUUCUCCAUUGUAAAGUUGCCUGUGCCUUAUGGAAUGCUAUCUUCAAUCGCUUUGGGAUGUCCUGGGUUAUGCUUAAUUAGGUGGUUGAUUUGUUUGUUUGCUUGCUGGUGGACGGGUGGUAGCUCUCAGAGUGCUGUUGUGUGAAAAAUGGUGCCUUCUUGCCUUAUGUGGUGCAUGUGGAGGGAACAAAAUGAUAGAAAUUUCGAGAACUAAGAAAUGACCUUGGAGGAGCUCAAGUCCUUGUUCUUUUAUUAUCUUUUUAUUUGGAUAACUGCGUUUUUAGCUCCCUUGGUGAUUAGUUUUAAUAAUUUUCUUGUACUUUUUUCUUCAUUUAUUUAGGUGUUCUCAUGUAUACUUCCUGUGUAUUAGGGUUGCGUCUUUCUAUGCUUUUUAAAAUGCAUUAAAUUACUUAUAAAAAAAAAAAGUUCUAGCUGAGGUAGAGUGAAGGGGAGGAUUAUUUCGGUACUUUAUGAAGCCUAAGUUGUUAUCUUGGAAUGUGAGAGGGCUGAACAAGGUGGACAAGUGCUUGAGGGUUCAUAAUUUACUUAGAGAAAGGAGGCAGAUGUUUGUUUUUAAAAAAACUAAAUUGGAGCACUGUUAAUGAUAUAUCUAUUACUUAUUAAAAAAAGAAAAAAGAAAAAAAAAACUAAAUUGGAGCAUGUCUUGCAAUCUUGUGCAUAGUCCCAAUAUGUGGAUUGGUGUUGUUUAGAUCCUAAAGGGGCAUCUAGUGGGAUUCUGCUUAUGUGGGAGAGGAGGGUAGUUGAAAAAAAUGAAAAGUGUAUGGGGGAGUUUACUGUAGCUUGUUCCUUUAGAAAUUUCGAAGAACAUUUUAAAUUGGUUUUUGUGGGGGGUUUAUGGUCCCAAAUAUGAUUGUGAUGGAAGGUUUUUAUGGGACAAGUUGGCUGGUUUGCUUGGUGGGAUUUGCCGUGAUGCAUUGGGGGGGAUUUUUAUGUCACUUGUUUUCCUAGUGAGAGAUCGGGUGAAGCCCAUUUUUGUCCAAUUAUGGUGCAAUUUUCAGAUUUCAUUUUUGCCAGGGUGAGCCCAUUUUCAUAUUUCAUUUCGGGUUAAGCCCAUUUUUCUCUUCCCAACCAAAUGCAGGAUCGGAUGUUAAAGCUAAAGAUUUAACAUCAACUAAUUCGUACAUAUCAUUUGAGGCAAAGAGUGAAAUUUUGAAGAAUCCUAAUGUUGCAAUUGAGCAUUUAGAAGAUUUUGAUCUUCUAGAAGAAAGGAGAGCUUUAUGUGACGAGGAGAAAAUGAGGAAGGCUAAAGCUAUCAAUGAUUUGGAGAGGUUUACUCUUAUAGAGGAGGUGAGUUGGAGACAGAAAUCAAGGGUAUUAUGGCUAAGAGAGGGUGACAAGUGCAGGAAGUUUUUCAUUUGAGUAGCCAACUCAAAUAGAAGGAAUAACUCCACUGAAUCUUCGAUGGUUAAUGGUACCAUUUCUUCAAAUCAUUUUGAGAUUAGUGAAAACAUUGUGUAGUUAUAUAAUAAUUUGUAUAUUGAAUAGUUCAAUUGGCGGCCUAAUCUGGAUGGCCUUUCUUUUGAUUCUAUUAGGGAGGUUGAGGCUAUUUGGUUGGAGAGGGCGUUGGAGGAAGGUGAGGUUUUUGAGGUGGUGAAAGCCUUGAACAAUGAUAAGCCCUCGGGUCCUGACAGUUACUCUGUGGCUUUCUUCCAAGCUUGUUGGGAUGCAUUUUUAAAGUAGAUAUAAUGUUAAUGUUUUCCAUGAGUUCCAUGCUAGAGGCAAGUUUGAAAGAAGUCUUAAUACAACUUUCAUUUCCCUCAUUCCGAAAAAAUCAAGGGUUGAUAUUAAGGAUUUAAAACCUAUUAUUCUGUUGGGUGGAUUUUCAAAAUUGUUGCCAGAGUACUUGCCAACAGGUUGAAAAUGGUUUUGGAGAAGAUUGUUUCUAGAUCUAAGAAUGCAUUCAUUAGGGAAAGGCAGAUCCUAGAUUUUGUUCUUAUUGUCAAUGAGUGGAUUAAAUAUGGAAAGCUAGGUGUUCUUUGUAUAUUGGGUAUUGGAAAGGCUUGUGAUCAUGUUAAUUGGAGCCUUUUGUUGUUUAUGCUGAGGAGGUACGGUAUUGGAGAGAAAUGGUGUAAUUGAAUAGUUCACAGUUUUUCUUUGGUGCAUCUUUUUGUUUUCGUGAACAGCACUUUAACGAAAUGUUUUAGUAGUUCUUGUGGCCUGAGAUAGGGGGAUUUUCAUUUUCUGAACAACACUUUGACGAGCAUUUGUCCCUUUUCUUGUCUGUCAUCUUUAUAGAGGCUUUGAGUAUUUUUAUCAAGCUUUUCAGUCUGGUUUAGGAAUGUAGGUGGGCUUAUCAUUUCUCAUUUUCUGUUUGCGGAUGACACUUUGAUAUUCUACGGGGCAAACCUAGAUCACCUCCAUUAUUUUUUUUUUUGAGAAGUAGAUCACCUCCAUUAUUUGUGAUGCCUGUUCUUAUGUUUCGAAGCAGUUUUAGGUUCGAAGAUUAAUCUGGCUUUUCUUGCCUAUUUAUCUAGGUCUUCCACUGGGAGCUUCUUUUAAGGCCAAACCUAUUUGGGAUGGUAUUAUUGAGAAGAUAUGGCGUCGUUUGGCUGGGUGGAAGCGGUUAUAUUUGUCAAGGAUGGCAGGAUCACUUUGAUUAAGCGCACCUUGUCUAAUAUGUAUACUUAUUUCUCGACUCUUUUCUCCCUCUCUAGUAGCUUUGCCAAUCGCAUAGAAAAGUUAUAACAAGAUUUCUUGUGGGGUGGUAUUGGUGAUUAGUUCGAAUUUCAUUUGGUAAGUUGGACCAAGGUCUAUUCUCCGAUUUUUGAGGGGGAUUGCUAGUCCAGAAUGUACUUCUGCUUAACUGAGCCUUCUUAGGAAAAUGGUUAUGAUGCUAUGCAUAUGAGAGAGAGGAUUUGUGGAGAAUGGUAAUAGAAUCUAGAUAUGGCAACUCAGAGGGUGGGUAGAGUUCUAAUAAUGUUAUUUGGUCGCAUGGGGUUGGUCUAUGGAAAAAUAUCAGGAGGGGCUGGGGGAGUUAUCUAGAUUUACAAGAUAACUCCCCGUGUACUCCUUUCCGUUGGAGGAGUAUUUGGCGAAAUAAGGUUGCCUUUAGAAGCUUUCUUUGCUUGGUUGGCUACUUCAAGGAAUAUCCUCACUCUAGAUAAGGAAACGGAAUCUCAUAGUGGUAGAUUGGUGUUACACGUGCAAGAAGAGUGAGGAAACUUUUGCACACCCUCCCCCCAAUUUUUUUUUUUAUAAGUUUUUUAAUUUUUUUUCCAUUUUUUCUUGGGUUAGCCUUAGAAGGUGGUGUCGCAAACUGCUUUCUUGUUGUAGACAUAGACCUCCUGUGUCCAUGUUUAAAGACUUGAUUGGUAACAUCCAUUUUGUGGUCAUACUAGACUUAGCUGGGCAGACUUGCUUGUUAUUUCCAAAAGAUUGAGUUUGUUGACGUUAUUUAUGUGGUUGAAAGAUGGAGAAGACCCUUUUUUAGCAGGAGCUGUUGUGUUUUUCCAAUUUGUGACUGAUAGUGCUAUUUUGAUACGGUCCCGCAUUAGCAGGAGGAGUUAAGUGGUUAUUAUUUGAUUAGUUAGCUUAUCAGCAAAUAAGAGGAAUUGUUAUCCUCGCGUAGGUAGAGUUGUUGCAGAAGUUUAGUCUAUUCUAUCUUAUUGUUAUUUGAAUUUGAAUUUGAGAAGGUUAAUCCUAUCUUGUUUUUAGAUGGGAUGAUCUUUAUCUCUACGUAAGUGUAAGGCUAUAAAGCCCAACAAGUUUAAUGAAUAAAGUAAGCAAUUAUUCAGAAAACUCACGUUUGUUUUAUGAGGCCUAGGGAACCUUGAAUAGUCCCUAGAAAAUUAUCACCAUAGGUAACCAAAUGAAGUGUGAUCCAGCUUUUUUAUCGGUUCAACGUCCUCAAACACGAUCCCAAUUCCCGACCCGUAACAUUUUGGUAUUGGUAUCAGAGCCAGAUUCGACCAUGUAUGACCAGAGGUUGGAACGGUUAUAGAAGGAGGUAGGAUCUUUGGAUUCGGGUCAACUCGAGUUACAAAAAGGCCAAGAAAAAAUGCUACCGCAAAUGAAGGAAAUGUUUGAUACCAUUAAGGCUUGGGUGUCUAACGCUGGAGGUAGCAAGGGUGGUUCAGCAGGGGGAGAAGGUGAAGGAGAAUCCUCUCAUCAUGACAAAGGGAAGGGUCCAUUCUGACACGAGUCUGGUCAGUCCACAACACCAAAGUUGGCCAAACUGCACUUCCCUAAAUGUAAUGGGGAUGACGACCCAACAAGUUGGAUUUGUUGGGUGGAGCAGUUUUUCUGUUUUCAAAACAUCCUUGAAGAGAAGCAAGUUCAUUUGGCAGCGUAUCAUUUGGAGGGAGAAGCUCAACUCUGGUAUCAAUUGUUUCGAGAGGCCUAUGAAAACCUGACAUGGGAUUCCUUGAAGGAAGGAUUACACGUUUGUUAGGACCAACUCUUUAUGAUGAUUUUUUUGGCAAUCUUACCAAGUUGCAAUAGCAGACGUCUGUUAGGGACUAUCAAACACAAUAUGAAAGAUUGUUGAGUAGGGCUGGAAAACUAUCAGAAGCACAACAAAUUGGGGGAUUUGUAAGCGGAUUGAAGGAGAGCAUUCGUACUAGAGUGCAAGCAUCUAGACCAUCGUCGUUCACGGCAGCAGUGGGUCUUGCGAGGUUAUUCGAGGCCCAACAUACCUCUUAGCAAUAGCCCUUCGCCGCGGAUACCGGAAUAGCUUUGGAUUUCCCAACCUUUCCGCCAAUUCCAUCAUCGUCCCUGUCUAGAACUCGAAAUCCCAUCAUCAAACGCUUAAACUCUGAGGAGAUUAGUGAAAGACGUGGAUGUGGACUCUGCUACAACUGUGAUGAGAAGUUCGCUCCGGGGCACAAAUGUAAGAGACUUUUUCUGAUUGACGGGUGCUAUGAGGAGGAGGAGGAGCCACCAGAUGAAGUAUACUUGGCUGCAAUAUAGGAAGAAAUUCCAGAAAUUUCUCUCUGUACAAUGGGGGGAACGCUAAAACCUCACUUUGUCCUUGAGGACAAGGACUCUUCUAAGGGGAAUGGAGUGAUACGGUCCCGCAUUAGCAGGAGGAGUUAAGUGGUUAUUAUUUGAUUAGUUAGCUUAUCAACAAAUAAGAGGCAUUGUUAUCCUCGCGUAGGUAGAGUUGUUGCAGAAGUUUAGUCUAUUCUAUCUUAUUGUUAUUUGUUAUUUGAAUUUGAGAAGGUUAAUCCUAUCUUGUUUUGAGAUGGGAUGAUCUUUAUCUCUACGUAAGUGUAAGGCUAUAAAGCCCAGCAAGUUUAAUGAAUAAAGUAAGCAAUUAUUCAACAAA